AUUCCGGGGCCCUGGUUUCUUGGCGCGAUGAGGUUCCGGUUCUGUGGUGAUCUGGACUGUCCCGACUGGGUCUUGGCAGAAAUCAGCACGCUGGCCAAGAUGUCCUCUGUGAAGUUGCGGCUGCUCUGCAGCCAGGUACUAAAGGAGCUGCUGGGACAGGGAAUUGAUGUGAGUACAAGACCCAGCACCCCAUUGUCCCAUGACCUUAUGACCCCCACUGCCCUGAAACUGUGCACUAGACCCGGGGAGACAGGUGAACCAGCCUCUCAACCUCUCUGGGCACCUCCCUUCCUUCUUUCCAGCUUGUCUGUUCCUUAUCGCAGGAUCCAGGCUAGGGGUGAGGGGCUGGUGAGCAGGGGCCUGGCACCCCCUGAAGGUCUCCUUUCCCCUUAGUAUGAGAAGAUCCUGAAGCUCACGGCUGACGCCAAGUUUGGUGAGUACCUUGCUGAGUCUACAGGCCCCAGGCAACCCUGCGAACUUGGCCUGGUACCUGGUACAGAGGGGCCCCCUACCCCUCCCAGCAGCAUCCUUAACUUACCUUCCGUAGUGGAGGAGCAUGAGGGAAAGAAAGACUGACAGUCCCACCUU
rnacentral:sRNA from 1 species